rnacentral:lncRNA from 1 species
CUGCAGGGCAGUCCGUCGCGGAUGCGGCCGAUGAUCCCCGCGGAGGGAUCGACGCGGCAGUACAGAGCGCCGCCCGUGGCCGCCACCGCCACCAUCCAACUGGACGGGGAGAUCGGGUACAGCCCGCACAGCACGCGGUUCUGCAACGCAAUGCAAUGCAAUGCAAUGCAAUGCAAUGCAACCCCGGGUACAGCCCGCACAGCACGCGGUUCUGCAACGGAAUGCAAUGCAAUGCAACCCCGGCCCGCACAGCACGCGGUUCUGCGGGGGGGGGACACAAUGCACCCCCAUACGGACACACGGGGACACAAUGCAAUGCAAUGCAAUGCAAUGCAACCCCGGGUACAGCCCGCACAGCACGCGGUUCUGCAAUGCAAUGCAAUGCAAUGCAAUGCAACCCCGGAUACAGCCCGCACAGCACGCGGUUCUGCAACGCAAUGCAAUGCAAUGCAAUGCAAUGCAACCCCGGGUACAGCCCGCACAGCACGCGGUUCUGCAAUGCAAUGCAAGGCAAUGCAAUGCAACCCCGGGUACAGCCCGCACAGCACGCGGUUCUGCAAUGCAAUGCAAUGCAAUGCAAUGCAAUGCAACCCCGGGUACAGCCCGCACAGCACGCGGUUCUACAACGCAAUACAACGCAAUGCAAUGCAAUGCAGUGCAAUGCAACCCCGGGUACAGCCCGCACAGCACGCGGUUCUGCAACGCAAUGCAAUGCAAUGCAAUGCAACCCCGGGUACAGCCCGCACAGCACGCGGUUCUGCAAUGCAAUGCAAUGCAAUGCAAUGCAACCCCGCACAGCACGCGGUUCUGCGGGGGGGGGGGGGGGACAUAAUGCACACCCAUAGAGACACACGGGGACACAAUGCAAUGCAAUGCAAUGCACCCCCAUACGGACAUGUGGGGACACAAUGCAAUGCAAUGCAAUGCACCCCCAUACGGACAUGUGGGGACACAAUGCAAUGCAAUGCAACCCCGCACAGCACGCGGUUCUGGGGGGGGGGGGGGGGGACACACAAUGCAAUGCAAUGCAAUGCAAUGCAAUGCAAUGCAACGCAAUGCAACCCCGCACAGCACGCGGUUCUGCGGGGGGGGGACAUAAUGCACCCCCAUACAGACACACGGGGGGACAUAGAGCUCCAUAGGGACACACAGAGGGACAGAGAGGGACAUAGGGGGACAUAGAGGUCCAUAGGGGGACAUGGAGGUCCAUAGGGACACAUAGGGGGACAUAGAGCUCCAUAGGGGGACAUAGAGGGACAGAGAGGGACAUAGAGGGACAUAGGGGGACAUAGAGGGACAUAGGGGGACAUAGGGGUCCAUACAGACACACAUGGGGACAGAGAGGUCCAUAGGGGGACAUAGGGGGACAUAGAGCUCCAUAGGGGGACAUAGAGGGACAUAGGGACACACAGAGGGACAGAGAGGGCCAUAGGGACACAGAGGGGGACACAGCAACCCGUUGGGACAUACAUGGGGACAUAGAGGUCCAUAGGGGGACAUAGGGGGACAUAGGGACACACGGGACACAAUGCACACCCAUAUGGGGCACAAUGCACACCCAUAGGGACACACGGGGCACAAUGCACACCCAUACACACCCAUAGGGACACACAGACAGAGCAGCCCAUAGGGACAUACAUGAGGACAUAGAGCUCCUUAGGGACACAUACGGGGACAGAGAGGGACAUAGGGGGACAUAGGGACACAUAGGGGGACAUGGAGGUCCACAGGGGGACAUAGGGACACAUAGGGGGACACAGAGGUCCAUAGGGGGACAUAGGGGGACAUAGAGACACACAUGGGGGGACAGAGUGACCCAUUGGGACAUACACGGGGACAUAGAGGGACACAGAGGUCCAUAGGGACACACAGAGGGACAUAGAGGUCCAUAGGGGGACAUAGGGGGACACAUGGGGACAUAGAGCUCCAUAGGGACACAAAGGGGCACAUAGAGGUCCAUAGGGGGACAUAGGGGUCCAUAGGGACACACAGAGGGACAUAGAGGGACAUAGGGGGACAUAGGGGUCCAUAGGGACACACAGAGGGACAUAGGGGGACAUAGGGGGACAUAGAGCUCCAUAGGGACACACAGAGGGACAGAGAGGUCCAUAGCGACACAGAGGGGGACAUAGAGGGACAUAGGGGGACAUAGGGGGACAUAGGGGUCCAUAGGGACACACAGAGGGACAUAGGGGGACAUAGGGGGACAUAGAGCUCCAUAGGGACACACAGAGGGACAGAGAGGUCCAUAGCGACACAGAGGGGGACAUAGAGGGACAUAGGGGUCCAUACAGACACACAUGGGGACAGAGAGGUCCAUAGGGGGACAUAGGGGGACACAGAGGUCCAUAGGGACACAGAGGGACAUAGAGGGACACAUGGGGACAUAGGGGUCCAUAGGGACACAAAGGGGGACAGAGAGGUCCAUAGGGACGCAUGGGGACACAUGGAGAUCCACAGUGCCCCAUAGUGACACAUAGCGACACAUGGGACACAUGGGGUCACAUAGGGACACACGGGGACCCAUAGGGACCCAUAGGGAGCCAUAGGGAGCCAUAGGGACACAUAGGGACACAUAGGGACCCAUAGGGACCCAUAGGGAGCCAUAGGGACACACAGGGACCCAUAGGGACACAUAGGGACCCAUAGGGAGCCAUAGGGACACAUAGGGACCCAUAGGGACACAUAGGGACCCAUAGGGACCCAUAGAGAGCCAUAGGGACACAUAGGGACACGUAGGGAGCCAUAGGGACACGUAGGGAGCCAUAGGGACACAUAGGGACACAUAGGGACCCAUAGGGAGCCAUAGGGACACACAGGGACCCAUAGGGACACAUAGGGACCCAUAGGGAGCCAUAGGGACACAUAGGGACCCAUAGGGACACACAGGGACCCAUAGGGAGCCAUAGGGACACACAGGGACCCAUAGGGACACAUAGGGACCCAUAGGGACACACAGGGACCCAUAGGGAGCCAUAGGGACACACAGGGACCCAUAGGGACACAUAGGGACCCAUAGGGGCACAUAGCGACACACAGCACCCCAUAUAUCGCCACCUAUUGCCCCAUAUCCCCCAUAUAACGCCCCCUAUCGCCCCCUAUCCCCAUAUAUCGCCCCCAUCCCCAUAUAUCGCCCGCUAUGCCCAUAUAUCGCCCCUUUUGCCCCGUCUCCAUAUAUCACCCCCUAUGGCCCCCUAUCCCUAUAUACCGCCCCCUAUCCCCAUAUAUCGCCCCCUAUCGCCCCCUAUCCCCAUAUAUCGCCCCCUAUUACCCCCUAUCCCCAUAUAUUGCCCCCUAUCCCCCAUAUAUCGCCCCCUAUGGCCAUAUAUCGCCCCCUAUCCCUAUAUAUCGCCCCCUAUGGCCAUAUAUCGCCCCCUAUGGCCAUAUAUCGCCCCCUAUGGCCAUAUAUCACCCCCUAUCCCCAUAUACCGCCCCCUAUCCCACAUAUAUCACCCCCUAUGGCCCCCUAUCCCCAUAUAUUGCCCCCUAUGCCCCAUAUAUCGCCCCCUAUGGCCCCCUAUCCCUAUAUAUCGCCCCCUAUCCCCAUAUAUCGCCCCCUAUACCCCACAUAUCACCCCCUAUGGCCAUACACCGCCCCCUCUGGCCAUAUAUUGCCCCCUAUGGCCAUACAUCACCCCAUAUAUCGCCAUAUACCGCCCUCUAUUGCCAUAUAUCACCCCCUAUCCCCCAUAUAUCGCCCUCUAUCACCCCCUAUCCCCCAUAUAUUGCCCCCUAUGGCCCCAUAUCCCCAUAUAUCGCCCCCUCUUUCCAUAUAUCGCCCCCUAUCCCCCAUAUAUCACCCCCUAUCGCCCUCUAUCCCCCAUAUAUCACCCCCUAUGGCCAUAUAUCACCCCCUAUCCCCCAUAUAUCGCCCCCUAUGGCCAUAUAUCCCCCCUUUCGCCAUAUACCGCCCCCCUAUCGCCAUAUAUCGCCCCCUAUGGCCAUAUAUCCCCCCCUAUCCC